ACAUGCAAGUCGCACGAAGGUUUCGGCCUUAGUGGCGGACGGGUGAGUAACGCGUAGGUAUCUAUCCAUGGGUGGGGGAUAACACUGGGAAACUGGUGCUAAUACCGCAUGACACCUGAGGGUCAAAGGCGUAAGUCGCCUGUGGAGGAGCCUGCGUUUGAUUAGCUAGUUGGUGGGGUAAAGGCCUACCAAGGCGAUGAUCAAUAGCUGGUUUGAGAGGAUGAUCAGCCACACUGGGACUGAGACACGGCCCAGACUCCUACGGGAGGCAGCAGUGGGGAAUAUUGGACAAUGGGGGCAACCCUGAUCCAGCAAUGCCGCGUGUGUGAAGAAGGUCUUCGGAUUGUAAAGCACUUUCGACGGGGACGAUGAUGACGGUACCCGUAGAAGAAGCCCCGGCUAACUUCGUGCCAGCAGCCGCGGUAAUACGAAGGGGGCUAGCGUUGCUCGGAAUGACUGGGCGUAAAGGGCGUGUAGGCGGUUUGUACAGUCAGAUGUGAAAUCCCCGGGCUUAACCUGGGAGCUGCAUUUGAUACGUGCAGACUAGAGUGUGAGAGAGGGUUGUGGAAUUCCCAGUGUAGAGGUGAAAUUCGUAGAUAUUGGGAAGAACACCGGUGGCGAAGGCGGCAACCUGGCUCAUUACUGACGCUGAGGCGC
rnacentral:rRNA from 1 species